rnacentral:rRNA from 1 species
GAUGAACGCUGACAGAAUGCUUAGCACAUGCAAGUCAACUUGAACUUCGGUUUGGGUGGCGGACGGGUGAGUAACGCGUAAAGAACUUGCCUCACAGUUAGGGACAACAUUUGGAAACGAAUGCUAAUACCUGAUAUUAUGAUUUUAGGGCAUCCUAGAAUUAUGAAAGCUAUAUGCGCUGUGAGAGAGCUUUGCGUCCCAUUAGCUAGUUGGAGAGGUAACGGCUCACCAAGGCGAUGAUGGGUAGCCGGCCUGAGAGGGUGAACGGCCACAAGGGGACUGAGACACGGCCCUUACUCCUACGGGAGGCAGCAGUGGGGAAUAUUGGACAAUGGACCAAGAGUCUGAUCCAGCAAUUCUGUGUGCACGAUGAAGUUUUUCGGAAUGUAAAGUGCUUUCAGUUGGGAAGAAAAAAAUGACGAUACCAACAGAAGAAGUGACGGCUAAAUACGUG